rnacentral:rRNA from 1 species
UGCGUAGGCGGCGCGGUAAGUCGGAUGUGAAAUCUCGGAGCUUAACUCCGAAACUGCAUUCGAUACUGCCGUGCUUGAGGACUGGAGAGGAGACUGGAAUUUACGGUGUAGCGGUGAAAUGCGUAGAUAUCGUAAGGAAGACCAGUGGCGAAGGCGGGUCUCUGGACAGUUCCUGACGCUGAGGACAAGGCCAGGGGAGCGAAACG